rnacentral:rRNA from 1 species
GGGCCCGCACAAGCGGUGGAGUAUGUGGUUUAAUUCGAUGCAACGCGAAGAACCUUACCAGGGUUUGACAUCCUGCGAAUCUUUUGGAAACGAGAGAGUGCCUUCGGGAACGCAGUGACAGGUGGUGCAUGGCUGUCGUCAGCUCGUGUCGUGAGAUGUUGGGUUAAGUCCCGCAACGAGCGCAACCCACGUCUUUAGUUGCCAGCAUUUAGUUGGGCACUCUAGAGAGACUGCCGGUGAUAAACCGGAGAAGGUGUGGAUGACGUCAAGUCAUCAUGCCCCUUACAUCUGGGCUACACACGUACUACAAUGCUACGGACAAAGGGCUGCAAGUUCGCGAGGACAAGCAAAUCCCAUAAACGUGGCUC